UAAGAUCAACUAGAAGUUUCC
ensembl:piRNA 21ur-8596 ncRNA